AUAGAUAUUUUGAGAUCUAAGAUUUUAUUUGUUUAUCAUAAUUAAUUUUAAGAGUAUUUGGCGGUAUUUGGUUAAAUUCUGAGGAACUUGUUAAUUUAAAUUGAUAUUACUCAUUAAAUUUUAUCUAUAAUUGUUUUUAUGUAUUGCUGUUUAAUUUAUUAUUUAUUAUUUAUAAUAAAUAAGAUUAAUUUUUUGUUAAAUAAUUCAAGUCAAAAUGUAGAUUUUUGUAGGGUUUAAUGAGUUACGUUUAUAUUGAAUUGUGAAGCUGUAAAUUUAAUUGAAAUAUUAUUGAGUUGAAGGUAGGAUUAGGAUGUAAAUAGAAAAUAAUUAGUUUUUUUGAUAUUUUGUACCAGUAUGU
rnacentral:rRNA from 1 species